rnacentral:lncRNA from 1 species
UCAGUUUAAGUGAAUAGAAAUCUAUGAAAUUUUGACACAAGGUUUAUGACCACAAAAGGAAGGUUGGGAUUGAUUUUGGGAGUUUUGGUUCCAACAGUUUAGGAAUUAAGGGCCAAAAAAGGGCCCAAAUAAGCAUUAUUCUUGGUUUUCGCACAAUAACUUUAGUAUAUAAGUAAAUAGAAAUCAAUGAAAUUUCAACACAAGGUUUAUGACCACAAAAGGAAGGUUGGGAUUGAUUUUGGGAGUUUUGGUUCCAACAUUUUAGGAAUUAGGGGCCAAAAAGGGCCCAAAUAAGCAUUUUCUUGGUUUUCGCACUAUAACUUCAGUUUAAGUGAAUAGAAAUCUAUGAAAUUUUGACACAAGGUUUAUGACCACAAAAGGAAGGUUGGGAUUGAUUUUGGGAGUUUUGGUUCCAACAGUU